rnacentral:rRNA from 1 species
GUUAGGAAUAUUGGACAAUGGGCGAAAGCCUGAUCCAGCCAUGCCGCGUGAACGAUGAAGGCCUUCGGGUUGUAAAGUUCUUUAGCCGAUGAUUAUAAUGACUGUAGUCGGAAAAUAAGCCCCGGCUAACUUCGUGCCAGCAGCCGCGGUAAUACGAAGGGGGCGAGCGUUAUUCGGAAUCACUGGGCGUAAAGCGUGCGUAGGCGGUUUUGUAAGUUAGGAGUGAAAGCCCAGGGCUCAACCUUGGAAUUGCGCUUAAAACUGCAAGGCUAGAAUCUCGGAGAGGAUAGCGGAAUUUCCAGUGUAGCAGUGAAAUGCGUAGAUAUUGGAAGGAACACCAGUGGCGUAAGCGGCUAUCUGGACGAGUAUUGACGCUGAGGCACGAAAGCGUGGGGAUCAAACAGGAUUAGAAACCCUUGUAGUCC